rnacentral:rRNA from 1 species
GCAGCAGCCGCGGGAAAACGGAGGGGGCUAGCGUUGUUCGGAAUUACUGGGCGUAAAGCGCACGUAGGCGGCUUGGUAAGUUAGAGGUGAAAGCCCGGAGCUCAACUCCGGAAUUGCCUUUAAGACUGCCGAGCUAGCAGGUGAGAGAGGUAAGUGGAAUUCCGAGUGUAGAGGUGAAAUUCGUAGAUAUUCGGAAGAACACCAGUGGCGAAGGCGGCUUACUGGCUCAUACUGGACGCUGAGGUGCGAAAGCGUGGGGAGCAAACAGGAUUAGAUACCCCCGUAGUCCCUGUCUCUUAUAC